CUGGCUCAGAUUGAACGCUGGCGGCAGGCCUAACACAUGCAAGUCGAGCGGUAGCACAGGGAGCUUGCUCCUGGGUGACGAGCGGCGGACGGGUGAGUAAUGUCUGGGAAACUGCCUGAUGGAGGGGGAUAACUACUGGAAACGGUAGCUAAUACCGCAUAACGUCGCAAGACCAAAGAGGGGGACCUUCGGGCCUCUUGCCAUCAGAUGUGCCCAGAUGGGAUUAGCUAGUAGGUGGGGUAAUGGCUCACCUAGGCGACGAUCCCUAGCUGGUCUGAGAGGAUGACCAGCCACACUGGAACUGAGACACGGUCCAGACUCCUACGGGAGGCAGCAGUGGGGAAUAUUGCACAAUGGGCGCAAGCCUGAUGCAGCCAUGCCGCGUGUAUGAAGAAGGCCUUCGGGUUGUAAAGUACUUUCAGCGAGGAGGAAGGCAUUGUGGUUAAUAACC
rnacentral:rRNA from 1 species